AUAAGCAAGAGCACAUCAACUUUUAGUACUGAAAAAUGCUGCUGUGUUCUCUCCCCAAGUCCCAAGAAUCCAAUUUAAACAGGACUCAACUGAGCCUUGGGAAACAGAGGCAUCUUCUACACUCUUCUCUACCAGGGUGGAAGGCUGAAGUACUUGGUCCCCUGCAUCAUUCCAGCCAGACACUCCACCCUUCCCACCCAUAGCCAGAGGCAACGUCUAUGCCAUUCACUCCUGUCACCCAGCACCCAGCACAAAGCCUGACAUGUGAUAGAUGUCCAAUAUACCUGUUGAAUGAAUAACCAACUCUUUCCGGUGGCUCCCAGCCCUGCCCAGAUAAGUGACCUAGUAGGGGUAUCCUACCAGAUCCCUGUAAGAAGUCUGCCUUGCCUGGUCUCCUCCGGCUUCCAGGAACUGCAUCUCCCACCUCACUGGACCACUGAGGAGGCCUGGACAUGAUGUGAUCUGGGUACCCAACUUUGAAGUAAGGGGAGAGACUGGAGCCAAAAGAAUGAAGUUGUCCUCAGAGUA